UUCGUUAGGUGAACUGCGGAAGGACAUUA
rnacentral:rRNA from 1 species